rnacentral:rRNA from 1 species
GAUGAACGCUAGCUACAGGCUUAACACAUGCAAGUCGAGGGACCGGCGCACGGGUGAGUAACACGUAUCCAACCUGCCCUUUACUCGGGGAUAGCCUUUCGAAAGAACGAUUAAUACCCGAUAUAAAGGAUGGGGAUGCGUUCCAUUAGGUUGUUGGUGAGGUAACGGCCCACCAAGCCUUCGAUGGAUAGGGGUUCUGAGAGGAAGGUCCCCUACGUUGGAAAUGAUCCACGGUACAAACUCCUACGGGAGGCAGCAGUGAGGAAUAUUGGUCAAUGUGCGCUAGCCUGACCCAGCCAAGUAUCUUGAAGGAUGAAGGCUUAUGGGUCGUAAACUUCUUUUAUAUAAGAAUAUGUAUUAUAUGAAUAAGGAUCGGCUAACUCCGUGCCAGCAGCCGCGGUAAUUC